rnacentral:lncRNA from 1 species
AGAAAUUCUUCUUCAGAUGGAUGCCCGAAAGGAUAACUGAAAUACUAUUUUGUUCCUAGAAAGUGACCCCGACUUCGCCAUUCUGUGAUGUACUGAAAUGAAGGAGGCAUACAAAUCAGAUUUCUGGUCAAUGCAGCCAUUUAUGGGAUCGACAGGAGAUUGAAUCCUUGAAUAUCAAUGAUAAACGAGGUUCUGGUUUCAACUGAAUGCAUAAGAUGUUAUAGAAAUACAUGAAGUAGAGGAAAUGGCAAAACUAGUGCAAAUUUUUCAAGGGAGACGUCAAAUCAAACUUGUUCUUUGAAAAUUUGUGACUGGCAUUUUUGUAACUUAUAUCUGCUGUCAUGAUUGUGAUUAAAAGUUUUUUACUUUUGUCUUUCAUUGGGCCUGCCCUGGGAAACAGGUGCCCUACGACUGCAUGUGUGUUUUUUUCCAGAGUUUCAGAAGUUCCGAAUGGUAUGAGAUUUGUCAAUAAGUGCACAAUCAAUGAUACAUUGUAUGAAGGAUUUUUUGUAUAUCAUAAUGGUGAUGAACAGUUUUGUAUUGUUUGAAAGUCGUUUUUUGGAGUAAUCAAUACUUCUCACUGUUUUUUUGGGUAUGUAACUUUCCAGAUUGUAGAAGGUUAUAUUACAUUCCUUAAAACGGUGAGAAACAAUUUUAUAUAUCAUAUUCAAUUAUUUGCCUAGUGUGUUUUCCAAAUGUUUAUAUGAGGCCGCUUGGCUAUGUACUUUUUAUACCAAGUAAAAACAAUAUGUGUCUACUAAUAUUUGGUAAAUGCAGAUACAAGUUUUCAUCAUAUACAGAGACCUUUUUUGUGCUUGUCAUAUACCUUAAAGAAUUGUUUCAUUUCAAUUGAUUCUCAUUGCAUUGCACUUCUUUUGUGGUUUUGAAGUUUCUAUCCCUGCGAAACAUUUUCUCAAUUACAACCUUUCCCUAAAUCAUUUAUGUUAUUCUCUAAUGUGAUUUCACUACCUACUUUUCUAUUCCACCUGAAUGUAAAACAAAUUUGUUUUUGUCGAGGUUUCAUUUUCAAUUCGGGUGCAAUCUAACUUGUUUCAACACUUCCUAAUUUUUUUGUGUGAUCAAAAAGUACUUUUAAUAUCAAAUCUUUGAAUAUCUUGCACUUGUGCAUUGUUUUAGUAUUAGACUAUGCUGAAUGUACAAGCUCGGUUCAUUGUGGGGGCUGAAAUAGAAUGAGGUUGAGUACACUGGGAUGUGGGGGUCUGAGUUUGAAAAUUUUUUUUUAAUUAACUGUUAAUGAAGAUGGUAUUUGAUGAGAUGUAAAUAUAUGGUGACUGUUCCAUGGUUUGCGGAGGUUACAGUGAAAAAUACUGAAUUGAUGUAGCAGAAGAAGGUAGAUGUACAACUGUGAGUUCACUUGGGAGGAGGGACUGAAAUAUAUUCGUUGAUGUUAGUGAUACAAAAUUUAUUUUAUAGAAUUUUGAUUUGAAAAUGGAUUUUAGUACAAUUUCUUUCAGGAUAUACCAGGAGAUUUGAAGUCCUUAUAUACAUGUUUUAUUUUAUAUCUACACUUUUUUUUGGGUAUUUUUGUACUCGAUUUUCAGAAUUACGCCAAUGUGAAAUAAAUUUGUUUCAUUUCGGAUGAUGCAGUGGAGAUUCCUUUUCUCUGUAUCUCUUGUAGUCCUGUGAAUUUUGUUAAUCAUCGGAUUAUCUGGCAAUCAACUUGUCGGCUACCUUACUCCGUGCUGAACGUUCUUUGACAGUGUUAUAAUUUCAUUUAUUUAUUUAUACACCAUACAAACAGAAGUCCAUUUACAUGUAUAAUAUAUGUUGUAUCGCAGCUUUGCUCGAAGGCUUUUUCAAAAACACUUUUUAUUUGUUACUUGUUACUUCUUUAUUGUUUCUUUGUUUGCUUUCUUAACCUAUACUGGUUAGGUUCACCAAGAAACUAGUCGAUAUAACGAUAGCAAGUGGUCGUACUAGAACCGUGUUGAAUCGCGCCAGGAUUCUAGGAGAUGUGAUGUUAGUCAGGGACCGCACUAGUAAUGCGGGCGAGUCUCGAAGAAUUGAAUUUAUAAGUUUCCAAGUGAUGAUUUAGCAUCUGUGAAACACAGGAAGUGAAUCCGCGCUUUUAAUUAAGACGCACUAGUUUCAGGGUGACCAUUAUACAUAAUGCGCAAUAGGGUUAUAAAAGACCCAUUGCAUUGAAAUAUAUAACAUAUAUUUGAAUUCUUCAAAUACAGUUUUUUGAAAAAUACUUUUUUUUACAGAAUUACGGGAUACAAUAACAACUAGUCGCGUUGUGUUUGCUUGGCCAGAUAAAUGACAAGGCUCCUGCAUCUUCUGGUUUUAUAACUUUUCUCCAUUUGGAACUUUCCUGUCUUUUGAAAAAAUUGAUAUACUGUGCAGCAACUUUUCAGGCGUAACUGGAUUGAGUUCAAUAUCUUCUUCAACUUCUUGUCCAAUUUGGUAAUUAGGUCUUUUCUUGAGAAUAAUCUUGCUAUAGAUUUGAAUCUAUUUCGGUGGCUUGUUUUUCAAAUUUUGUGAUGCAGCUAAUUGGCAUGGGAAUUUCCAAACCCUUUAUAUUUAAAACCAUAUCAUAAUUUGGAUAUGAAGAAGCACUGUAAUCUUUACUUUGGGAGGGUACAAACCACUUACGAUUGCUCUGAUUAUCAUCUUGAUUAUCAAGGUUCACACAUUGUUUCCAAUUUCUUGGGGCAAACGUAUGAAUGAUGUACCGUUGCCGAUUUCAGAUUUAUUGAUUGCUACCUCAAGCAGAAGAAUUUUACUCAAUGCCCAAUCAGAGCCGUGUUCCUGAAAUUCAUAGAGUUUAUUUAUUCAAAAUAACAUCCACAAUAUGUUCAUUGUACCAAGCAGACAAAUCUGUCCCCAAAUCAAUGAUGUAAUUACGAGUAUUGAAAUAUUUUCUAUCAAUAAUUUCCCCGUCAUUCGAUGUUUUGAUGAAAUACCCCAACAAUGUCAUGUUCACUUUGAGGCAUUGCAUCUUCUUCAAAA